AAGUCGUAACAAGGUUUCCGUAGGUGAACCUGCGGAAGGAUCAUUAAUGAUAUGGCGAACCGAGCGUUAGCGAGGUUUCGCGAUCAAACUUGUAUUUAAAACCCACACUUUUGAAUGUAUAUUUUUAUAUUUUGUAUGAUAAAUAAAAGAUCACUUUCAACAACGGAUCUCUUGGCUCUC
rnacentral:misc_RNA from 1 species